CGUUCCCGGGCCUUGUACACACCGCCCGUCACACCACGAGAGUUUGUAACACCCGAAGUCGGUGAGGUAACCUUUUGGAGCCAGCCGCCGAAGGUGGGACAGGUGAUUGGGGUG
rnacentral:rRNA from 1 species